AGGGUUGUGGCUCAGUGGUAGAGCACUUGCCUAGCAUGCGUGAGGCACUGGGUUCGAUCCCUGGCACCACAU
rnacentral:tRNA from 1 species